rnacentral:rRNA from 1 species
CAGCCGCCGCGGUAAUACGAAGGGGGCUAGCGUUGCUCGGAAUUACUGGGCGUAAAGGGCGCGUAGGCGGCGCUCCAAGUUAGGCGUGAAAUUCCCGGGCUCAACCUGGGGACUGCGCUUAAGACUGGAGUGCUUGAGGAUGGAAGAGGGUUGUGGAAUUCCCAGUGUAGAGGUGAAAUUCGUAGAUAUUGGGAAGAACACCGGUGGCGAAGGCGGCAACCUGGUCCAUUACUGACGCUGAGGCGCGAUAGCGUGGGGAGCAAACAGGAUUAGAUACCCCGGUAGUCCCUGUCUCUUAUAC